UUUUGAACCACAUGGUCUCUCAUCCGAGUUGGAGUUGAACACGGAGAAAUCUGGCGGGCAGAAACACCUCAGGAGGUUGACUAUGGCAUCAGAGCAGUUUGAAUGCAGGUACCAGGAGGGAUGUCGCCAAUGCAAUUGGGAUCAUGAUUCUAAUGAAAGUAGUGUGUGAACUGGACCUGUCAGGUGCUGGACACAGCCAGUGACUCACAGGCAGCGCCAGCCGAAACUAAUCGCACCAGGCUUUCGGGGUCCAAGCUCCGUAAAUGAUUUCGGUGAGUGGAGUUCUUGUUGCUGCCUUCGGUUGAAGCUCUCUAAAGUCAUGGAAAGAAAUUAAUCACAGUGGAGCCACCAAAAUGCCAGGGCACAGGGUCAUACAGCCUCCUUCUUCCUUAGGCACCGGUCUGGAAGCUCAAGCGCUUUCCCCUGAGAACUGGCCGCAGUCAUCAGGUUGGGUUUGCUGCAAAAGAUCAAAGCCAUGUUUUUUGAAGUCGAGGUUCACACGCAAACACCAGCCAUGUUGCUCCAGGCGCUAACAUGGAUGUCAGGAUGAAUUUUACCCUUGAACUUGGGAGUCUGCUGCCAACGCCAACUGUGGUUUAGGGUACACCGGAAGAUUUCCGUAUGGGAAGAAAACAAUCUUUAAUUUCCCGAUGGAAGAGAAUAGGUUGUUCUAAAGCCUAACCCAAGAGGCCAGACCAGACGAGAUACUUAGAUUUGCUGAGUUGGGAUUGUCCAAGCCUGCGAAGGGUGGGAGGUGUGAUGAGACUUAUUCUGACAGAAUGGAGAGAUGGGGAUGUUUGCUUUUUCAGGACUCUUCCUAUUGAGGGACUGUGCACGGAGGAAAGCCAAAUGCUCUUGCCUGCCUAUUGUGCUAAUUCAGUGUAAGAAAGAAGUACACAGCUAUCCAUCCAGGGCCUGUGAAAAUCCAGCUCCUUGUAUACACAAGUCCUUUAUAUAAAGCAGGAUCGUAUUUGCAUACAGCCUGUGCAAUCCUCCUUUACACCUUAAAUAACAUUAGCCUGCUUAUGGUGCCUCACACUAUGCUGUUACACAGUACUGUUUAGUGAAUAAUGACAAGGAAAAUGUCUGCACGUUCAGUACAGGUGCAAGGUUUUUUUUAUGAAUAUUCAUAAUCUCAGCACAUACAGAAGCCACAGUUGUGGAGGGCUGGCUACUGGUGUCUGUGCAAAUGAAACCCAGGGAGGAUAAAGCAUAGACUGGUCAGUCGGGCUACUAUAGUGAGUGGCUAGGAACAGAAGGAAGAAGGGAGGAAUUGAGAACGGGAUGGAAGCAUGGGGGAAAGAUACUCCUCUCGGUUUACUGUCUGGAAAAUCUUUAACUUUUCACUGCCAUCUAUUAUUUAGUUAAACAAACAAGCAAAAACCCAGUGAGCUGAGGACGAAAGGGGAGAAAAAUCCCAUUACUCCCUUAGGAAAACACAGGCUUGUUUCUAUCAUCAUGGUGGUACGAAGUGUCGGGGUUGGGGAUUUAGCUCAGUGGUAGAGCGCUGGCCUAGCAAGCGCAAGGCCCUGGGUCUGGUCCUCAGCUUCAAGGGAAAGUGUCAGUCCUGGGCAUAAGAGAAGUGGUCCAGCUCUAGGCUGAGGUGUAGUACAGGGAGGGCUUGCUAAACAUGCCUAAGCCUAAAUUCCACCUUCAGUACCACAGAGGGGCAAACUCUUCGUCCUUUACUCUUUAAGGAAUCUAGGAGCUCCAGCUUUGAAACUGAACUCCCUACAAUCUAGAAAAGGGCAAACAGGCAUCACUUCCUCCUUCCUUCAGAUGUGUAAGAAGAACACAGACAGACCAGUGUCUUUGUGAUCCCAGGAAACGGCAGGCAGACAAAGAUGGACUUUCAGGGCUGCUGGGAUAGUCGUAGGGUUGGAUGCAAGCAUGUGGGAAUGUGGCCUGCUUGUCUUAUAAUCUUGUACUCUCCUUUCCCGCCUUGUCCUCCACAUUCAGUUCCCUCCAUCUGUCUCUACCACCACCACCGUUACCUCUGAGAAGGUAGUGGCUAGGAAGGGCCUUUUAAGAAAUGACCACAUGCUGGUGGCGCAGGCCUUUAAUCCCAGCACUUGGGAGGCAGAGCCAGGCAGAUCUCUGUGAGUUUGAGGCAAGCCUGGACUACCAAGUGAGUUCCA